GCUAUGGUAAUAAAUGGACAAUGAAAUAAACCCAUUGGACCCGGGGGCGGUACCCGGCGCCUCCACCAAAAUAUGAUCAGUAAAGAUCAUAUUUUGGUGGGGGCGAAACAGGAUCGACAAGGGCGUAAAGAUUGCUCUUUUACUCGGCAUUGUACCACCGUUAUCGGACUAAAUCAGUAGUUGCAAAUGACAACUCUGCGGAAGUCCGUCUCGCUGCUUAACGCAGUGCGAAGACUUCAAAUUAAGUCUUGAACCAUCGCAGGUUCAAGCGGGGUUCGGAGGCACCUGGCAACAGAAGC
rnacentral:tmRNA from 1 species